rnacentral:lncRNA from 1 species
UUUUUUUUUUUUUUUUUUUUUUUUUUUUUUUUUUUUCUGCUUGUGAUAUACUGUUUUUGCUGACUUAUACUUGGCCUUUCAUUGCUAGCACCUUAUAUAAUUUUGUAGGGUUAACAAAAGUUAACAAAGUGACAAUGUUGGUGACAAAUGAACGUGGAAAGAAUUGCAUUGCUAAAAAUAAUUGGUGAAAUGUCAUUCUCUAAUGCUAUUAUAGAAACACAUACGUAACUCUGCUGACCAUUAACAUCAACUCACUGUGUUUGUUUGAGCUUGACUCGUAUUCUCUAAUUGUGCCACCGCCACCUGUGUCCUAAAGCGGGUCCGACAUAACUUAUAACCUUGUACCCUGAAGACUGAUCUGGACAUCAACAUACCAUUUUUAGCAGCACAAAACACCAAAUAGCCCCCCCAAAAACAAAAUAGGAAAAAGAUAAAAAAAAAAAAAAAAAAAAAAGACAUUCAAGUAAUGAUGUGUCUCAAUUUGACGAUAGCUCUCUCUCUCUGCAGCUAUGUCCAUUAUAUUGGCCACAUAAGUUUAUGAAAUUUUCAUCGACCGUCCACUUGGCCUGGCCUUUUUAAUGUUAAAUCAUCAAUGGACCAAGAGUUUGUACAAAUUAGAAUUUGAUCUUCUUGAAAGGACAAGCACAGUCGUUUUGUCUUUUUUUUUUUUUUUUUUUUUUUUUUUUUUAUAGAAUUUGGACCACUUUGAAUUCUACCCUUUGGACACACCGAACUGGAAAAUCAAUCGAAUUUAUUAUUUUUUAGUAGUCUUUUCUAGUGAAGUGGUCACUUUGGUUUUCAAUUACUGUUUUUCUGGUUGAAAUUCACGUAUUAGAGCGUCAGGAAUAAAACAAAUCAAAAAUUCAAAAAAAUGUUACCUAACAUUUCUAGAUUAUUUAUUUUUUUUAUUAAUGUUAUUUUCUUUAUGAUUAAUGUUUUGAAACUCAUUUUUACUUCCAUAAUUUUAUUAUUACCGGUUGAAGAUUCAACCCCUCCGUUAUUGAAAGAUUUGAAAUAUAACACGCAUUAAUUAUGAUGUAUUGAUCAUUUGUCUUCGAAACUGAUGUCAAAUUGUUAUUGGUCGGAAUUCUAAACCCCAACUUGGCUACUAACUGAUGGAGACUUGCUAUUUGCUACUAACAUUUUAUGUGAUUUGAUUUGUUGGAAUUUGAAUCAUUUUAUCCACUAUGUGUUUCUUUGGCUGAGAAAAGAUAAAUAAAUUAUAAAAAUUGAUAAAUUUUAAUUUAACCGUUAAUGCUAUUAUCUUGAAAUUAUGACUUUUUAUAUUAAUAACAGUUAUUGUAAAAAUACUUUUUAAAUUUAUAAGAAAAGCAAAAAAACAGGAAGCUAAUGUCCUACUUUUUUAUUUCUUUAAUAGAAAAUAUUAGAAAAACAUUUUUCUUUAUUGUUUCAACUCAAAGAAAGUCUGGUGUAUGAUGUAAAAGAUAGAAAAUGAUUAGAAAUUUGACGUCAUAUUAAGAAUUGGAAUCCUCUUUGACUUUUUUUUGAAUGGCAGAUAGCAUAGGAAUAAUACCAAAUAAAGUGGAAUUUAUAUUAUUAUCCACUUAAUUAGCAACCAUUAAACCUUUGUAUUAUUUUUUUUUUUCAUACUUUAUCAAUUACAAAAUCUCUCUCUAAUCGCAUAAACAAUAUAUAAUAAAUUGAUAUUAUAUACUUUUAACUAUAUAAAAGUAAUGACCUGACAUUAAUCGAUACUAAAUUCGAACCUCUGUACUCUUAAUUUUUAAAGUUAUAAAUUAUAAUUUAUGUAUUGGAUUCAUAUAUAUGGGACAAAAGCACAAGUUCAAGAUUAGUUGUAAUAAACUCAAGAAAUGAUCUUCAGUAUACUUCAAGACUUUGGUUAUUUUCACACAUUAUUUCUGUAGUUUUAACCUUUCCUCGUUUUUAUGAUUUUUUUUUUUUUUUUGAAGCAAAAAGAGAAAAAACAUUUGUCCUCUUAUGAUUCUUUAAUUUUUGAUUUUCAAUAAAAACAAAAUCAAAUUAAAGUUCUAUUUACUAACGAAGAUCGAAUAAGGCCCCACAAAUCUGUAUAAAAUCUUGAUUUCUCUUGUCUAUGUGGAUUUGUAUUGGAGUGUGACAUUUCAAGUCGGUAAAUAUAUUAGUUUCUAUUUUUUUUUUAAAUAAAUUUAUUUCAUUUUAUUAUUUCUUAAAUAAUGAAAUGGGAUAUUUUUAGUCAAUUUUUCCAUAGUGAUAUUGAUUAGUAAUUUUGAUUAACGUUUAAUGAUGGACUUUCGAAAGGAUUUGCUUAAUUAACAGUCAAGAAAUCUAAUUACACUUCAUAUGGACCAUUCAAAUUUUCAAUCUUUUUGUUUUUUUUUUUGGAUGAAAGGACAAAGAAGGGUCUGGAUCAAUACCUAGAUAUGGAGGUUUAGACAAAUUUAGGGUUAGGAUAGAACCUAAUUAAUUAAGUUAUAUAAGUAGUUUGAUUAGAUAUAAAACAAUAUUAUAUUCUACCUAAUUAACAACAAGUUUUAAACUUGUAAUGUAAUGUCAAAAAAAAAAAAAAAAAAACUUGUAAUGUGAAUGCAGACAAGGUCAAACACAUUGCUAUAUGGCAAGGGCGCAAGAUAGUGAGCCAAUGAGAGUGAUCAAUAAGAAGGACAAAAGAGGUCAUAUCAAUGUGUACAACCUGCAAAUUAAUGGAUUGUCCCACCAAAAACUUUAGUAUUACUCCCUUAAACUUAUCGAAAACGUUUGUAAUUAAAAUUGAAAUGACUAUGAUUUAAAAUUUUUAAAGAUCAAUUAGAUUAUAUUUGAUUGGCAGUUUAAAUUUUUUAUUUGUAUUAGAAAAUAGUUGGUUUUUAACCAUGUGGUGAUGUGGGUUGGAUUCCCCAGCUUAAGGCCCCAAAUAAUUAUGUGAAUGUUAGAGGAUUUUCUAUAUAUGCCCACCUAAUUAAUUAAACAGCCAUAGUGAUUAUAGAAUUCUAACACUCGCUUAAUAUGGUGAUUAAUGGUUAACUUAAUGGGCAAGAGUGAUUGCAGAAUUGCAAUUUAAAAAUAAUGAAAAAUGGAAAAUAUUGUAAUUGGACAAACUUUUUGUCUAGCAAAAUGGCUGAGUGCGGCUAUGAUUGUGACCAAACCUCUCUAUCACAUUGCAGUAAUUAAGUUUAAGUUUAUUAAAUAAAAUAUUUAUUGUUUAGCAUACAUUAUUGACCGCACUACUGAUUUUUAGGGGAGGUAAUGGAUCUUGAUUUGCUAAAAGAGGAAAUCAAAGAUAUAUAUUCUUUGUUUCAUUUAAUGAAGAUAUUUAUAAAAUGUGAAUUCUUGCAUCAGAAGCUAAAGCAGAAAGUUUGGAAUGGGUAAUGUAUAUUAAAUAAUUAAAAAUAAAGUCCACUAAAAAAAUAUUAAAAUAAAGCAACUUAAAUUUGUACUCAAUGAAUAAAAUAAAUUAACAAAAACAAGAAAAGUAUCCAUUGCCAAUUUAAUAUUCUAAACGAGGGAAUUUUCAAAUAUUUACUUUCUUUAGGUUAGAGAUAUAUUUUUACACAUAAGAUAGUAUCAGUAUUUAAUUUUAACAUUGGAAAAUGAGAAAUACGGAAAUUAGUGAAAACGACAAGUUAUAAUAACAGCCAAUACAAAGGGGACAAGCCGUUGAUUUAGAACAUUAAAAUUUGCUCCCCAAACUGCUAACAGUCCAAAUAGAGAAAAGCUUAAUUAAAAAAACAUUUGGCAGCGACACGUGGCUAUUAGACACGUAGGGACAAUGACUCCAUGCGCCAACGCACAAUCUGCCUUAGCCCAAAAGUAAAGCCAAAACCAAAUCCGAUUCCAAGCUACCGAAUCUAAGCUGUUUUACACUCCCCCCUUUCUAUUUUUAUUUUUUAUAAUUUAUAUACUCCACGCUCCUUGCCAUCGUGUGGGCGUUUAUUUUUGUUUUUUUUUAUUUACUUUUAAAUUUUUAUUACUGCUGUAAGAUAAUAUUUACAUUAAGACAGACUGAGCCCAUUACAAGCACUGUAGAUAAAUUCUUUUUUUCAGGAAAUUAAAUUGAAAAAACAGUGAGACAGAGAUAACAUAUAUGGAGUUCAAAUAUAAGCAAUAUACAUUGGAAAAAAACACCUAUAGUUCCAAAAGAGCGAGCAUUGAUCCCAAACUCAAGUUGCUGACUGCUGAGCCUGUCUGUGUUUCCCCAAUUUGUUGUCAAAAACCGGGACCACGUCCACGUAACACCCUUACCGGUACACGCAUGACACGCGCGUCGAUUGCGAGUUAGAAAACCAUUCCAUCUGAAAAUAUCUAACCAUGAGGGACCACGGACUUGUAACAAAAGAUUAUAAAAGCGGAGGCACGUGGGUCCCAUUCUCGUGACCCAAGAAAUAUCACAAACCAUACGGGUUUGGCUUCCUGCCACGUUAACUCAUCUUACAGUAGGCGCGCGUCCGCUUAUAUAUUGCGGUGCUACCUCAACGACAUUAAAAUAAUAAUAAUAAUAAUAAAAAUAAAAAUAAAGAGCCGGCUGUGAGACGGCCCAACCCAUCCGCACCACCUGCUUCUCCUCCUUCCUCCAUAAGAAGCAGCUUCACUUUCUUUUAGAGGAGAAUUAAAUACAGCCUAGUUUAUGGGAUGGAGUCUAACAACGUCGUAGCACCGUUCGUUAUGAAGACUUAUCAGAUUGUCAAUGAUCCAAAGACGGAUACGAUAAUCAGUUGGGGCAAAGCCAAUAACAGCUUCAUCGUCAUCGACCCGUUAGAUUUCUCACAGAGGAUCUUACCUGCUUAUUUCAAACACAACAACUUCUCUAGCUUCGUUCGUCAAUUAAACACCUAUGUAAGUCCCUCUAAUUAUAAUUAAUUAAUAUAAAUACGCCUAAAAUAUUAUUAAUUAAUAGUGUUUUAACGUUAAUUUUAAUUAUUAACAGGGUUUUAGAAAAGUGGAUCCCGAUAGAUGGGAAUUCGCAAAUGAAUGUUUCUUAAGAGGCCAAAAGCAGUUACUGAAGAAUAUAGUUCGUAGAAAGCAUAGUAAGAGCUCAUUUAUGCAAGGUAAAAUUGAGGACUUUGACAAUGAAGAGUUGGUUAUGGAGAUAGCGAGGUUGAAGCAGGAACAGAAGCUUCUAGAGAAAGAGCUUGAAGGGAUGAACAAACGUUUAGAGGCUACGGAGAGAAGACCUCAACAAAUGAUGGCUUUUCUUAACAAAGUCGUCGAGGACCCUGAUCUUCUUCCUCGCAUGAUGCUCCAGAAGGAACGAACCAGACAAUUAACUGAAAAGAAACGCCGUCUUAUGAUUUCUUCUUCUUCGUCGUCCUCUGGUGGAGCCGCCGUUUCUAGUUCUGUUAAGUCUGAAGAAGAAGAAGAGGAGGGAAACAUAGGGGUAAUAUCGUCACAAGAGAAUAAUAACCUUUGGCAAUCAUCCCCGUCGCCGGAGACAAAUCCUAUAAGAUGGUUAGGAGAAGGAAACUACGGUUGUUUGAUAGAGCCUGGUCUGUUAACGUCGGGUUCUUCAGUAGGUGCAGGGAUUGGGAAUAGUGUGACUGUAGCGGUGUCUCCGCCAGGGAACGGUUUGAUAGUUUAUGGCGGUGAUAGGGUAGGGGAAAUUAGUUAUUUUGCAGGACUGGAGGCGGGGGUGGAUGCAAGACCGCCACCGCCUUAUCCAUUUUCGCUUUUAGGAGGUGGCUUUUAGCUGCUAUUAACAAGAAAUAUCAUCUUGGAUUCUAUAUACCUUCUGUAUUAAUUUUGCUUUUUGGUAUAUUGCCUUUUCUUUAUCCCUUUCUUUGGUUUAAUAAUUCUUGUAAAAAAACAGAAGUAAUUUAAUUUUGUGGUUAAUAUGCUGUUUAUAUUGAUAAUACAUUUCCAACAAAUCUUCUUUUAUAUAUAUACACACAAAUCAUAAAUAUAUAAAUAAAAUUAUUUCGCAAAAAUAUAUAUAUAUUUUUUAUAAGAAAAUUAUGACAUAAUCCUCUUAUUAGAGGGAGGUUGAGAAAUGGUGGUAUAACUAUGAAUGAUCGACAUGUUAUUUUUCUGUAAAAAUGAUCAGACGGCAUUCACUUUUAUGUAUUAAUAACAAAUUACAAGAAGUUGUCUUGUGCAUGAACCUGAACCUGAACCUGACGUUCCUGGAUUCUGAUUCUUUCUUCCUUUUUUUUUUUCUUUCUGCAACCUAUGAAAAGGCGGUUGGACCUUUUUAAUUUUCGGAGUUAUCAAUUUCACAAAGUUGGGGAGCAGACGGAUAAGUUAUCCAUCCAUAAUCCAUUGACACCGCCGCAGCAAUUUGCUAUGCCUCACUUCGCCUUUUACCCAAUUAGAACACGCCACAUGUCAGAGUCUGGCUUAACCCACUGUACUUUGCCCUCCUAAUAUUGGCAAAGUGGCAGUGGAAGUCAAAUAUUUGAGGGAAUCAGAAUUUAAUAAAAAGAAAACGCAGGCAUGUGACUCGCCUCUUUCAGAUCACAUUGGGGCACACUUUCAGAUCAUCAUCAUCAUCAUCACCAAUUAAAAAAAUAAAAAUAAAAAUAAAAAUUUACACGGUUGGAAAAGGCAAACACCCUUUUUUAAUACCUCUCUGUGCUCUUGUCCCACCUGAGCUGGCACUCCUUGUUUUCUUGCUUUCCCAGUUAGCCUUACCCUUCACAGCAAAAUCACGUGCCAUCUGCGUGACAGUUGAGAUGCGAAUUUCCUCUUUAUAGCCUCAUCAUAGACACCACGUGAAGGACAAAGUUAAAACAACACCUAUAUUGUCCAAAUCUGAUUAAUCUAGGAUUCAUGUUAAUGUAAUUAAUUUCAGAAUAGAGUAAGCUUUGUUAUUGUUGGUAAAUAUUGUCCUAUGACUCCACGCGUACAUUUACCAGAAGUUUGAUAUACAGUAGCAGUAAAUUAGUAACAGUACAAGUGACGAGAGGUGAACGUGAGAAGUCGAUCACGUGGGACCCGUAAAGCGACUAAAUCCCGUUUUUGGAAGUUUUAUCGGAGGACGCGUGUCAACCAAGUGGACAUAUUACUAUGUGAUGUGGGGCCAAGCGCUGACAAGGACUAAUUGCGGAGGGAGGCCUGAAGGUGUGGGGACAUGUAAAGGGCAUCUUGUCUUGUGGGGACCAAUCCUCGUCUAGUGAGUCCACGUGGGGAGUGUAAGAGGAGGGAGUGGCACGUGUUAGCAUUCCGAUGCUAUCGCUUUUUAGUGUUCACAUGGAUAUGAGGAAGAGGAGGCCCCCCUCCCAUCAAACUCCAACUCCAACUCCAACUCCAACCCCAACCCAGCCCAGGCCCUGUUGCGGUGCACCUCUGGCACACAAAAUCAUGCUAGGCGUUGAACCCAUUACUUGAGUAGGUCCCACCACGUGUCAACUCUUUUCUUUCUUAAUUCGUUUAUUUUAUUAUUAUCAUUAUUAUUAUUAGAAUAAUAAUCUAACUACAACAACUUGAGACUGAGAUACGUUAUAACCCAACCCAACCCAAAUCCAGUCCAAACAAAAUAUCCUCUAGCUAAAUUCUUAGUAUUUUAAUUUUUAAAUACAAACUGGAAAGGAAGAGGGACACGUGGCCAUUUGAAAGACAAGGAAAGUCACUGUCUAAUGGAGAUGAACCAAUCAGAACCAUUAAUUUAGGUAAAUAAUUGUGGCUUUAUGAUUAUAAAGUGUGGUUAAACCACGGCCACGUAAAAUGAAUCAGGCACGUCACCCUCCGACUGAUAAAAAAAAAUAUUAGAAAUUAGAAUACAUGUGAUGUACAUUAGGACUAAGGCAAUGGUGUAACUUUAUGAUCCACUGAUUAUAGGAUAGGACCCAUUAACUGAAAAUGAAUAAAUAAAUAAACAAAUAAAAAAAUAGUGGAGUUUGUGUCCCACAGCUGAGAUGAUAAGUAAUCGCUCUAAUAUUACUCGCAAUUUUCGCACGCUUGGUUUAUUUAUUCUUAAGCUGCUUCAAACCGGCAUGCAAAUCAUACAUACAAUUAUUGACCGCAAAAGAAAAUGAGUGACUGUUCGCGCGGCUGACUCACAGCUUGAAUUGUCAUUUACGGUCUAAUACACCAUCUGUAAAACUGAACGAAUUUAAUAAAUAUUAAAUUCUUGUAAUUUUCUAGAAUUUGAAGAAUUAUAUUAUAUCAUGCAAUUUAAACAAUUUGCUUAUUGCGAAGCCAACAAUUUUGAAUUCAGAAUUGUUAUGAUGACAAUCCCACAAAAUAUGGAUGAAGAAAUGGAAAGUCUUUCCCAUGAAACGCUUAAUCAAACACAUGCUUCGAAAAUUCCUACCUUGAAAUAUUGACUGAUAACAUUUGAAGACCCUUUACCAUUGAUUUUUUGUUAAGCCGCCUAACAAUCAUUAGACUUGAAAUCUUGAAUUAAUUUGAUAUAGACCAUAUAAAAAAAAAAAAAAAAAAAAAGUUUGGAAAUUACCUUCUUUUCGAAAAAAACAAAAAAAAAGAAAAAAGAAAAACACUAACGACGUUAAUAAUAGCAGGAUUUCGGCUCAAAAGCCGAUACGACGUCCAUUGGGCUAAGCAUCAGAAGCCCAAUAUGUGCAAGGUUUUGGGUUUCUUGUAGUGGACCUAAUGUAUACUUAACCGAGCAAUUGGGUUUGCAUAGGGGUGUUUUAUUGCUUUCGGACUUCGAUGAAGCCCAGCCCAUAUUGUAUAGAUUUUGAUAACUGAGGAGACCUAAAAUUUUGUCAUGUCAAACUAAACUGUACCAAAGGAUCAGUAUUUGUCACAAAAAACUAAAAGAUCCUGGCCAUUAAUCCCACUUUUGCCUAACAAGUAACCACCCAACUAAAGUAGUAGGCCGAGCAAUGCCUUUUCAUACUGUCUCAUAAAUACAAAAUUUAUAAAUUAGGUAAUGGAGCCUUUAUUAUUAUUAUUAUUAUUAUUAUUUUUUCAAUACUUUAUUAUUAUGCUUUUGAAGUUGGGCUAUAAUCAGAUUUUGCUAAGAAAUAAUAAGGCCCACCAACUAACAUUUGAAGUCCCAACAUCCCUUCCUAAAGCUACUAAUUAAGCCAUAAAAAAGUCUGCAUUGACACUGCAAAAAACCUUAAACUCCCAUCUUAGUAUCGUGAUUAAUUAUAAUUAGAAACAAACCUACUUAGCUUAGCUUAGGUAUAUAGGCCGGCCUUUACCAUGGGAAUUGAAGCAACCUUGUAAAGGCUGUAUAACAUUUUGGGAUCCACGUAUAUAUAAAUGCUUGUCUUAUGUUUCGUGUAUUUAUACUUAGGGUUAGGAUAAAAAAUUUUAAAACGCCUAAAACAAACUUUAUGCCAUUCUCGAAUUGAUUUUGCCAAUAAUAUAUAAAUUGUUUUUUCUUUUUCAUUUUUGGAAAAAUAUUCUUGAUUUCAGUGUCUUUUUUUUUUUUUUUUUUUUUUGUGAUGCUUUUGUUUAUUUAUAUAUUUAUUGUAGUUGUUGGCUGAAUUAUAGCAAAAAUAUUCCUUUUAUUACUCAAAAUUUAGAUAAAUUGUAAGUAAAAAGAAAAAUCAGAUUCAGAUGUACUUGGUUUCUGUAAUUAGUUGACGGAGUAAUAUUUCCAAUGUGAAAGAAAAAAGAAAAACCCAAUAGGAAUUAAUCAAACUGAUUUAGUCAAUCUUAAUUUGAUUUUGAGAUGCCCAAUGAUUUCUUUGUUUUUCUUUUAACGAAAUUUCUAACUGUUUAAUAUUAUCCACUAUUAGUAACUACUAACUAACGAAUCGCUGACUCUGAUUUUAAUAUAUUCAAAUUUAUAAAAAAGAACAUUUAAAUUUGAGCUUUCAAAUAUAUGUGUUUAAAUUUAAAAUUUCUCACAUUUGAUUGUUAAAAAUUUAAAUAAAAACAUCAAAAAUAUAUUUCUUCAAUUAGUAAAAUUGAAAUUGGAGAAAUGAUGGUUAUCUUAUAAAAUGAUUAGAGUAGGCUAAUUGGGUAGGUUUGAUUAUUAGUCUUCUUUAAUAAUUUGGAAUUGAACGAGUGGUUAACUUAGUAGACGUAAAGAGUAAGAACAUGCAUGGCAUAUAUAUAUGUGUUUGUAUUGGAAAUGCCAAAUGGAAUAGAAAACUGAAAAGGAAAAGACAGCAAACAUUCUUUUUAUUGCACGCUUCAAAUGAAGCUCCAGAAAGAAUCUUCCGAAGCAACUCUUUUUUUGAUGAAGAGGAAUAUAUAUAAAAGGAAGAGAAGGUGUGGAUGGGGAAGAAAGAAAUUGUCCAAAGUCUUGGUGGGAGAGAAUGUUCUUUGAUUCCGCAUGAUAACAAACAAUAAUAGUGGGAUGAUUCAUGGAUUUGAUUCAACUACCGUACUUUGAUUCCCAUUUACUAUCCCAUUUCAGAAAAAUUUAUAUCAUUUAACUCUCCAACUUUAACAAUUCUGAGAUAUGAUUUUUCCAAUUUCAGAUUAUAUCUUUCUAACUUGAAUUACAGCUAUGCAAGUAGCCGUUUCAUGAUUCUAAUUUAAUUCUAUUUUUCUUUGUAUAAGAUUUUGGCUUCCUUCCUGAACAUGACAUACAAUUUCGUACUCAUGAUUUACCAAUUAAUAUAACAACACAUUGGUCUCACUCUAUAAGUAGUCCAUGAACCCCAUUUAGUAACUGGAAAGGUUUGGUCCAAAGCAGCAUCAUGACUACCUUGCGAUGUACUUCAAAUCAGAUGGUUAGGAACUGUCAAUUGGUAACCAUUCACAGUUCUAGUUUCCAAUUCCUUGGCUCCCUACGUAGAUUCUCCAUUUAACAUGAUCACCGUAAUUAAAAUGUUAUUAGAAAAAGAAAAAAAGAAAAUGUAUAGUCAAGAUCUAUUUGGAAAAAUUAGUUAUUUGCUAACUGUCAGUUGUUUUAGUUGUUUAAUUGUUAGUUGUUUUAAUGAUUAAAAUGUUAAUUUUAAUCAUGUUUCAAUUAAAUGUAAAAAAAAUAAUUAUGUGAGAUGAAUGUGAACUUUAUACGCUUUGUAAUUUAUUAUUAUUAUUAUACCAUGAUCCACGUUUAUAGUUUUUCGAUUCAGUUGAUACAGGUAUACUCUAACCACUUAUUCGUCUAGAUGUCAUCUUGCCAUCUAAUAUGUUCUUUCCAAUUGGAUAAUAUCACACAAACAUAUACAUAAUAUAAUUUAUAUAUUAAAAUAUAAUUUUUGCAUAUUUCCACGAAUGCCAUCAACGAGCAGGCUACUUUGUCCUCGACGCCUAGUGAAGCAGAGAGUUUCUUUUCCCUCAUAUUUCUUUUUUUUUUUUUUUAUUUAAAAGUUGGUUAAUGGAAGUUAGUUACUCACACUAACGUAGGUAGAAAAAUAUUAUAUAUAUAAGCAGAGAGAAAUUGAGACCACUGACCAUUUCUUAUAUAUAUAAAUUCAGUAUUCUGAAUCACACCCUUGAAAAGUGUUGGUUUUAGCUCCGCAGGUGUCGGCCUUCAUUUUCUCCUCUAUUGAACAAAAACUAGAAGAUCCAUGGAGAUUAGACCCUCUCAAAAUUAAUUAUCCAUAGUUCCACAAAUCCAGGAAUUCCAAAUCUCUCUUUUGGAUAAGAAGAAGAUCAAAUUUCUCUCUUUCUCUGUCCCAAAUCCAUCUGUAUUUAAACAGCUCUCCUGAUGAGUUCUAUUUUGUGUCAAAAAGGGAUUCCUUCAGUUUCCUGUUCCGCAUCAACUUCUACAUAGUUAAUUUACUUAGCUAUAUCUUUUGUUUUGCCUUAUGGACUAUUACUUGAAAGAAGUGGAAGGCAAAAGAGUCCAUGACCCCUUCAACAAGAAAAUGGCCAUAUCACCAAGUAGGUGUAUAUGGGUACCAGGAGCUCUUAUUGUUGGUGCUGGUCCUUCAGGUUUAGCUACUGCUGCAUGUCUUAAAGAAAGAGGUGUUCCUAGUUUAAUUCUUGAAAGGGCUAAUUGCAUAGCUUCUCUAUGGCAACUCAAAACUUAUGAUCGUCUUCGUCUUCAUCUUCCUAAACACUUCUGUGAGCUUCCUCUUUUGCCUUUCCCAUCAAAUUUCCCUACCUACCCUACAAAACAACAGUUUGUGGGUUACUUGGAAUCCUACACCAAAUUUUUUGGUCUCGAACCAGUCUUUAAUAACACAGUUGUCAGUGCAGAAUUUGAUAGUCGAUGUGGGCUUUGGAAGGUUAAGUCGUCUGGGCUUAAAGAGGAAGAAUCUGAAUAUGUAUGCCAAUGGUUAAUCGUUGCCACCGGAGAAAAUGCGGAUGAGGUUGUGCCUGAUAUUGAAGGAAUGGCUGAUUUUCAAGGACUUAUAAUGCAUACAAGUUCCUAUAGGAGUGGCGAAGUCUUUAGAGGAAAGACUGCUUUGGUUGUUGGAUGUGGCAAUUCCGGUAUGGAGGUCUGUUUAGAUCUCUGCAACUACAAUGCUUACCCUUCCAUUGUUGUUAGAGACUCGGUGAGCAUCCUUUAAUUUUCUUUUUCCCUCUCUUCCUUUCUUUCUUUCUUUCAUUCUCAAGCAGUCAAUUUUUUGCUUUUAUUUUAACAUAUGCUUAAUUUAGAAAAGACAAAAUCAAAGAAAGUUUUCAUUUUUAUUAUACUGUUAUUGUUUUAAUAUGUUUGUAAAAUAUCUUUAUUAUUUUACUAUUCUUUGCCACAUAAACAUAAGCUAUUAUAUUUGUUGAGAAUAUGUUCUGCAACAAUACAGACAAAGCAACUGUGCGACUCUUUUAUGCCACUUUUUCACCCCACUUGAGGGAGUUCGGAAAUUACUUGUUGCAGACUCAACUGUAUAAUAUUGUAAGGUUUUGUUUUCUUUUGUUGACUUUAGCUGCGGUAACAGUUUAUAUUAAUCUCUUGGUGAAUAGAUUUCUGGAUUUUUUUUUUUGAAUGAAACAUCACGUAGUUUAUUGGUAAGUCAGAAGUAAACCCCAAUUGUCCUUUUUCUUUAAAAAAUUUUCGCUAUAAUGAUACAAACUAAUAAAUAAAUAAAUAAAAUCUUUGAAUUUGAUGUAUCACUUUCUUGGAAUUUGUUUGCAUGCGUAGCCAUAGUCAGCAUUCCAAAAACUCGUAUGUCUUAAUUCUUUUUGGGAUUCUACUCUGCACAGUAUUGCAGAUUCUAAAGUAUAUAUGGAAAAUAAGCGUAGAAAUGGUACAUAUCCUGAAAGUUGCAAAUUCACACAUUAGUCGGUGACAUGCGUGGGGGACUCAUUAGCUUAUCUAACCCACUCCUUCGAAACUUUUCAAGUAACUUUUUUCUUUCCUUUGGGGGUUUUUUUUUGCAGGUGCAUGUCCUGCCACAACAGAUGCUCGGAAGAUCAACUUUUGGAUUAUCCAUGUGGCUGCUAAAGUGGUUUCCUUUGAAGCUUGUGGAUCAAAUUCUGUUGUUUCUUUCAUAUUUCUUGCUUGGUGAUACUUCUAAACUUGGCAUUCAUCGCCCUAAACUUGGCCCCCUCCAACUCAAAAAUACCGCUGGAAAAACUCCUGUUUUAGAUGUUGGAACUCUCGCUAAGAUCAGAACUGGAGAGAUUAAGGUUAACUUUUUUUCUAUUGAGAUCAAAUAACAUUCAUAAAUGUUGUUUAUAAUUUAUUAUUUUAUAAUUAAUUGUAGGUUUUCCCAGAAAUAAAGAGAGUAAUGCGUGGUUCUGUGGAGUUUGUCGAUGGAAGGAUUCAAGAUUUUGAUGCUAUUAUUCUAGCCACAGGUUACAAAAGUAAUGUGCCUUACUGGUUGAAGGUUAGUUUAUUGAAUCUUUAACAUGAAAGAAGAAUGAUUCUGUUAAUGCAGAAUUAAAGUUUUUUUUUUUUUUUUUGAAAAAAAAGAUGAUCAUCAUGAAUUUUUGCGCUCAGGAGAACAAAAUGUUUUCAAAGAAAGAUGGAAUGCCCCACAAUUCAUUCCCAAAUGGAUGGAAAGGUGAAAAUGGACUGUAUGCAGUAGGCUUUACGAAGCGUGGCCUGCUUGGCGCAUCUAUUGAUGCAAGAAGAGUCGCACAAGACAUUGAGCUUCGCUGGAAAGCUGAAGCUACAAGUUUCAUGGCCAGUGCCCGUGCAUUGCCUCAGCAAUCAUGACUCCAGGGAAACAAAAACCAAAAAAAAAAAAAAAAAAAAAGAAAAAGAAAAAAAUUCCUCUCUCUUGAGUGAAGAUCCAAGCAUGCAGGAAAUAAUAGAACGAGAAAGGACAAGUUGUCUUUUUAACUUUUCGUAUGCACAGAAGCAAGCUAGGAAUGCUACAGAAAAAUUAAAGAUGGGUUUUGGGGGGGGGUGGGUUGAGAUUAUUAUUGGUUUUUUGAGGCAGGAGAAAAUUCUCAACGUGUGUACAUAGCUUGUGCUUUUCUUAAGAAACAAUUUUUUAUAUUCGCUAGUUUUCUGUUAUUAGUUUGGUAAAUAUUUAUAACAAGGGAAGGUUUGGUUUUGCAAUUAAUUUCAUAACAUGUUUCAAAGGGUAGGAGACUAGAAGCGGUGAGUUAAGUAUACUUAAUCAAUUAAUUAGCAACAUUUCCAAUUGGAUUUGAGAUUUUAUGUUAAAAAAAAUAAAGUAAGAUGGUUUCCAUCAGCAUAAGCUCUCAAGUCUCUACAUAGAAAUUGGUUUAUUUAAUUAAUAUUGGAUGGUAAAGCUAAGAAUAGACCACAAAUUUUGAGUUCUCAUUUAUUUUGGAUACCACAUGCAUAUAAAAUUUGAUUUAUUUUGAUCUGAAAAAAGAAGAGAUACCCAUCAAGGGUUCAUAUAUAUAUAUAAAUAGAAAGAGAGAACAUUCAACUGAUCAUCAUCUUGGGACCAUUUUAUAUCUCCUUUUGUAGAAAACAAAAGGCAAAAGUGAUUAUAAAAGAAAAGGGAAAAGAGAGGAAGAAAAAUUAAAUUGGAAAAGAAGAAAAAGAUCAUUUUGGUCGUGUAAAGGUCUUCUGCAGAAGCAAAUAUUAAGUGGCCCUCAGGUUCUCUUCUGUAUCUUUGUGUAUGAUCAACUUUCACUAUACAUAUUUAUUCACUUAAAAAAGUCAUAUAUUGGAUUAAUACUUAUCCUGGUUUGCCUUAUUGCUUGGCCUUUCUAUCCUCAUCAAAAAAAAUUGGACCACCAUCAUAUAAUCUGUGCUGAGUCCAGACAAUUAUCUCUAUGAUCAUAACUUCAUCAUCGUCAAUGCUUAAAAUGCUAAAUGGGGUAUGACAGUGCUCAAGACAAUUUGUCAAUGAAGAUUUAGGUAAAAUAGUAUGACACUUCUUUCCACUUUGAUGUUACACAACAAUCAACCUUUUCAGUCAAAUUAAAUUACAUUAAUUCAUUGCUUACAAAAAAACAAUCAGAUUAAAAUAAUUAUAGAAAAUAUUUCUUGAAAUCAAGACUUUUGUACAUAAAAUGCUAAAAUGAUUGGAAAAUUAUUGUACAUAUGAUUUGAAAGUUAUUGAAAAGAAAUUUGAAAAUGACAGUCCAUUCUUGGACACUGAUUUGUAUUCAGUCCUUAUUAUACACAUCUUAAUACAUAUCUAUACAGGUCAUACCGAAGAAAGAAAAAAGAAAAGAGAAAAAAGAAAAGAGAAAAAAGAAAAGAGAAGAAGAAGAAAAUGUUAAGUUUCGAUAGAUAAUUUUUGUCCUACUCUACCCCAGUCCAAUCGAAGCCUGCUCUUAAAACAGGCACCGUUUCUAGUUUUUCUUUAAAAGACGGCCAAGCUUAUCAAAAUUUCGCCACACAAAAUUGAUUAUAUAAAUACUGAUGAAUCAAGCAAGGUAAAAAAGAAACUUCAUGUGACAGUUAGAUUAUUAAGAGAGGGUAAAGUGUGGAAGGAUGUGGACAUGACAAUAAUGGAGUUGCAUCAGAGUACAGUAGUUAGGGUUUCAUAAUUUGUUGUUGGUGGGUUAUAUUCCGACCGACUGAAGUUGAUGAGCAUAUUCAUACAGUCGAAUCUUGUUGGGUUGAUUCACUAUAAGACACAUUAGCUAGUUAGCUAGCUACUCUCAACGUCAAAGGUUAGUUGUUAACCCGUAAAAUCUUGUAUUUUGUAUCUUGUUUUGGACCAGAAGGGCAUGCCCUACUAAUUAUUGUGUGGCCCAAUUAAUUCUUUGAUAAUGCUUUGGAUUGCAGACUUUCUUCUUCUUCUUUAAUCUAUGCUUAAGGGUCUACGGAUUAUCUUGUGCUAAGUUAAGUUUAUUUCCUUUCUUUUGGCUUUGUUGCAACUUGCUUUGCACAUUCUCCCACAAACAAACAUCAUCAUAUUCAUGUUUUCUCUUUUUCCAUUAUUCAAAUUCCACUAUAAAUAAAAGAUCAAAUAUAAUCAUAUAAAUAUAUAUCGGAUUGGCAUUUACAUUAUGUCAAUCCAAUGCUCUCCCACUAAGACUCAAAGCUGUCGUUUUUUCAAUAAAAAUUAAAUGUCAGUAGCCAAGUUAGAUAGAUAAAUGACAGUGUUUUUCUUCAGCCGACAGCAACUAGUUGCAAAUUCCUGUUUCACACAAGGCAAAAAGUACUAUAAGCAGUUUUCAGCGAAGGAAACUUAAAGGAAGGAAGGAAGGAAGGAAGGAGAAGUUGCCCUACAAAGUCGUAUGCAUGGUCCAGAGGCACGUGAUAGCCAUGCAGACAUUUGGCACUGAGUCACACCGCCGGGGCUGCUUUCUCUGCUACAGCUACGCAUAAUGCACAUGUGUACUCGUGGAUUUGGACCAUCCAUUUGAUUUUGAUCCAUUUACUGCUCUUUAUUGUCAGUGGUCCUUUAUUAAUCUAUGGUAGUAAACUGUCUUCAUCCUUCUAUUUUUCCCAUGGACCAUUUCCCAUUAUUAACACUUAAAACGCGUUAUGGUCUUUGAGUUAGACUUAGAUUGUUAUGUUUUCUUCUUUUUUGUUUUCUGAUAGAGAAUGACUUAUGUACAGUUGGUUUAAAUACAUAAUGCUCUAUUUCUUUUACUUUUAGGCCAUAAUUUAUUAUAUGUAUUCAGUGUUAAAUGCUCAUUUCUAUAAUAUAAAAAUUUUUAGAGUUAAUAUUCUUGAUUUAUCCUUAUUAAUCCUUGAAUUCAAAAUUUCAUUUAUCAUAGAAGCUGAUAGAAUGAAAGAGAAGAAUAUGACAUCUCGCUGAAUUAAUGGUAGUUAUAGCUAACUUGUAUAAUCUUUUAAUGGUAAUUUAUAUGAUAAUUUCCUUUUUAAAUUAUAGCAUCCACUCUAUUAUUAAUUUUUUAAAAUUUUUAUGUGUGAUAUAAGUUACUUGGAUUGAAAAAUCAAUGUUUAAAGAUUAGUACUAACUAAUUAAUUAGCUUUAUGGAUGUGAUGUUUAUUCAAUGGGUGAUGAACAGCUAAGUUAUGCAUAGACAGCAUGGAAAAAUAACGAGUGAUAGAAAGAAAUGGAAAUAAAUUGAUAAUUGUUUACGAUAUUUGCUAUAUGCAAAUAAUAGAAAGUAAACGUGGUUAAAGACUUAAAGGGCUAGGCUUUGGAGAUAGAAUCAAAAAAAAAGGUUAUCCUUCGAGUGUAAAGAGUUGGCUUUAUUACGUACAUGAAAAGAGCAAGACAGGCAGGCGCGCGACUGUGAAUGGGAGAAGACUACUGCAUAGAUUUUAUUUAUUGUUGUAACGAAGGAAAGCAAUUUUGGUAUUGACCAAACAAUAUUCUAAAAUUUAUUGGAUUAAAACUAAAUCAUGCAUACUCCUGUGUUAAUUAACCAAAGAGUAAAAUGCGAAUCAAUAUCAAUCAGGUAUUAUAUGAUUUGAUAUGAGAAAUGAGAAGUCUUGACUAACCAAAGGAUAAAAUGCGAAUCAAUGUCAAUUAAAUAUUAUAUGAUUUGAUAUGAGAAAUGAGAAGUUUUUUGUUUCAAUUAUCUUGAUUAUAAAAAAUUUUCACCAAUUUUGGUGAAUAAAAAGAAAACAUUACUUCUAUUGUGUACUUUAUCGUAUAUUUUGGUCUAUUUUCCUCCCGAUAAACAUCAUAAGUGAAAAAAAGGCAAUUUUGAUAUGCAUAAUCAACGCUUUUCUUUGCCCUUUCUUCAACAUGGUAUGCUAUUUAGGACCACCAUUUGCAACUUGCAUCUUCAAUCAUUAGACCAUCCCUAGUUCCAUAUGUCAUAGCUAAGAAUUAAAUCUGGAAGAGAGUACCAAUUUCUCGAAUUUCUGACUUUCUACGCUUUGAGUGAUACAUACAGUAGUCGAAUGACAUGUAUUGUCCUAUUCUAAAGUGAUGGAAUACUCUGAAGUGUAUAUAUAGAUUUUUAUUAUUAUUGCAGUCACUCUCUUAUCUCACUUAAUUAAUUAGAGAAACAUCAGUUCAACAAACAUUCACCAUGAUUAAAUGAUUUGAGAACGAUUCUUUGCUACCUAAAUCUUGGAAUAUUGUGAUUGAUUGCUUCUAGAACUGUACAUCAUCUUCGUGUCUUUUCAAAAUUUCCUGUGGGGAAAAGAUAAACAAAGUUAUAUUUUACACUUGAAAAAUGCACUUAUUAGGGUGAAAACUGAAAAGGGUAAAUAAUAUAUUAUUAUUGCUAAAUCGACAGGUUAGAAAAAUUAUAUGCUACGUGAAAAUCAAGUUGGAAGUCCUAUUGCAUUAAAGUGAAAAAAGAGAGCUCCAUCAAUGAUUUGAGGAUGAGAUAGAUAAAUCGUAGCCACCAAAAGAAUUGUUGAAGCGAAGAAAGGUUUGUAUCCCCAAGAGAGCUAAGCAAAAAAGAUGCAUCUUUUUUAUCUCCCUUUUGAUAGUGUAAGGAGAUACGACUGCAUAAAGAGCAGAUUCCAUUACUCUACUCCACAUGGACAUUGUGGCUUUUGUAGUGGAAUUUGUCUCCUUUCUCUGUUGGAAUCUCAAUGGAUACUAGAAGAAUCUUCCCUAGUUUCAAAACAGAAUGUACAAAUUCUAGCUAUACCUACUAAAAACAAAAUCGUCAAUAGUCAACGUCUACAUAUAUUAGAUUCCAUGUUGUAAUAAUAACACAGUAUGUGUGAGUCGUUGGCUCUGUUGGCAGAAUACAGGAAUCUGGGUAAUGGGAUCCACGCUCCACACCAGGUUUAGUGGUACUGGAGAGUGCACUAUAGAUUCUUUCUGUAUUUACAUUCCUCUUUGCAGGAAGAGAGCGUCUUUGUUUUUAUUUAGUUUUAGGUUGUUAGAGUGAAGGGAUAUAAGAAAUCCAUUUGUUUCAAUCUAAAAACCUUGAAUCUAUAAGAUUCCCUCAAUCUAGAGGAUAUACGUUGAAACGGGGAAGGAUUCCAUUUUUAUAUAUUAAAUCAAUUAAAAACAGUUUUUUUUUUCAUUGCAAACGAGAGGUAUUUGUGACUGUUCAUAGGGGAAAAAAAAAAAAACAGAAACCGUAUUUUAAAGAACUUUUUUUUGAUUGGGUCGCGUGUGAUGUUUUUAUACACUACGUGUAGACAAAGCAAAACAAUUGGCCUACACAAGCGGUGAGGAUACAACAUGUUGGCCCAAAAAUAAGAUGAAAAUGGGCUGUUCAAAUUAUAUAGUCCAAACUAACUUGGAUUUACCGUUUUGGACCUUUGUUUAGCUUUGAAACCAAUAUGUUAUAGAAAGAAAGUUUAUGGGCCUCCAAUUGGCCCAAUAAGUUGAACCUUAACCCUCCUGAAAUUAUGAAUGCAUACACAAUUAUUAAAAAAGAAAAAAAACACAAAUAUAUAAAUGAAAGUUGAAAGUGUUACUGAAAAAAAAAAAAUAUUUAUCACAAAAUAAUUAUCUCAAAUUAUAUCCAUAAUCAAAUCCUACACCAAAUUAGAGGAAGGAAAAAUUGAAAAUACACAAUAGAAACAUCGUAGUUAAUCAAAGUCAGAACUGCAAGCUUCUAGCGCUUAACAUUUAAUGCUUGAAUUCUUUAAAAAAAAAAAAAAAAAACACUUAAUACUUGAAAUACUCUAAACAUUGUCUUUUCAUGUUCUUCAUCUCAAACUCAUUAGUAUCACAAAACUCAGAGAAUUGAGGAACUUGCAUUUGAGAAGAAACAUUAGGCAUGAUUGAGCCUUGUCCAGAACCUAACAGAGACAACUGCCUCAUUUCCCCGCAAUAGCUUACUGGAUGAGGGAUCCCACCAUUAUGAUUAUUCAAUAUCACCAUAUUACCUGCCGUCUGAUCAGCUUCUUGAGCUCCAAAUUGACUCAAAUCUGUACCGUUGGCUUUCAUCAUCAUCAUCAUCAUCAUAGGACUAUUAAGAGGAUUAACAUUAAAAGGAAGCACCUGAUGAUGAUCAAAUGGCUGCUGUAAUUCUGUACACUUUUGUUGCAAGGCAUUAGCGAAGGUAGAAGCCAUUGAAUUGUAUCUAUUAUUAAUAUUAUUAUUGCUCGAGCUUCCUUGAAUAAUAUUAACUGACUUGGAAUCUUCACCGAUCAUCAAAUAAUUGUCACCUUUUAUCUUCAAAAUCCUACUCAUUGCAGUUUCAAGCUUAGACUGUAAAACAGUAUGCAAUAAACAGAGUUCUUCAAGUUCCGAUGAGUUUAAACGAUUAUCCCAAGUAGGAAACUUGGCUUCCAAACAGGCCCUAUGCAUUUUAGUAAUCUCAUCGUCCAAUUUUCUCUUGCGAGUCUCAAAAAAAUGCGACAAAUCUUGACUUUUCUUGCGGUCAUUGCCAUGUGAUUUGUAACGGUCUAUAAUUUUCUUGAUUUCGGAGUGAUCGGUCGGGCAGGUAUCGACGUCAAUGGGACGGUUACUGAAUUUCGGACCAAAGAUUAUCACACAAGCAUCUACGUCGCAGAGAACUCGAAACUCGUGCAGUUUCUUUGUCAAACCUUUCUUUCUUUUCUGAUAUGUCACCAUGCGAGACCUCUCGUUGGUAAUUAGUUUCAUGCUCAGCUUUCCACGUCCCAUCUCUUCGAUCUACAUUUAAAAAAAAAAAAAGAACUGAAAUUAUCAGAAAAUUAAUAUUUAAAGUAUCCUAUAAAACAAAUUGCAACUAACAAAUGGAGAAAUUAAUUACAAAAACACUUUCUGCCAUGAGCUCGAAAUGAAAUUAGUUUCAUUUCCCAAAAAGGAUAUAGAUAUACUCGGAAAACAAAAUGAAAAAAAUACCAAAAAAAAUUUGAUAAAUUAGAAGACAUUUUAGACUUGAAUGGCUAUGUUUUUGCAUAAAGGGAAACACAAUGGAGAAGGUGUUGGUAUAAUAAGAGAGAAACCUGGUUUUAAAAGCCUUUGAUCUAACUACAGCAAGCCAAGAAUGGAGAUUUUUCAUUUUUUUUUUUUUCCAUAGAGCUUUAUAAAGGGAAAACUGUGUUGCUUCAUAAUAAAGAAUAUUACUAUUAUGGAAAAUGAAUCAUCAUCCGCUGAUUUUUGCAUAAAAAAAUUAGGAAUUUAAUUUGUAUAGCAAUGCCCAACAGGCGGAUUUUUCCAUUUUGCUAUCUUGCAGGCCGACAGAACAUUGCUAAUACCAUAUUACUAUAUUUGGAAUCCCAUCACUCACUCUAAAUAGGAAAUACAUUUAUUACUAUCUCUUAUUUAUUUAAAAAAUCAUUAAAAUGAAAGACAUUUUAUAUAUAUGGAAACAAAAAUCUUUCCAAGCUGGAUUUCAAUUUUCAUUUCAACUGAUUCAUUUUUGCAUCAAAUAUUUUCCUUAUCAUUUAUAUUAUGGACCAGAUCAUCUUGAUUAAAAAAAAAAAAAAAAAGUUUUAACUAAGCAUUAGUUGGGCUGGGCUUCAUCGCCGUAUUGUUAGUUUGGGUUGAGAGGAUUUCUUUAUAGUCUAUGACUUAGUAACCAAAGUUGGGCCUAGAUGAAUUAGUUUGCAUGAUCUGAUCCAGAUAAUUUAUUUUAAAGAAAAAUUCACAUUCAGAAUUUUUUUUUUAAUAAUAAUAACAAUUUAAUAAUCAGAUUAAUGAGUGAAUAUAAACUUUCUUUCAUGAUUUUUUCUGGCUUUGAUUCAAUCAAUUUCUGCUUCAAGAUGAGAAGAAAUAAUAGUAAAAGCUUUAAUUGAAUCUUCUUUGCUGUCUUAAUUACCUUUUUUUUCGCAGAAUAAUUGUGCAUCUUAUCAAAUAUGUCCUAUUAAAUGCAUUAUCCGAGAGAAUUAAAAUGGAAAUUGAUAAUUAGAAACUGAUUACACAAAACAUAACCAGAGACAUAAAAUCUAUAAAUCAAAAAAGAAUAUAAACAAAAAAUAAUAAAAAGACAACCUGAAACAUUGUCAGAAAUUCUCCAUCUUCAUCAAAUCUCCUUUAGGAGGAGAAAAUUAAGCCUAUAGUCUAAUGGAAGAUAGACUAUUUGGCUUUGAAUUGACACUGCGAGGAGUUCCAGCUGGUUGAACAAAAAUUUCUGCAUACAUUUCCAUGAAGAAAUUGUCAACAAUGUCCAGAUAAGCAGGGCAUGUUAAACGAGAAUAAUAAUGGAGAAUCUCUUCUAUGUCUAGAACAUGAUCCACAUUACUAACAUCCAUCAUUUCUAGCUCCCUUAGCUUCUGCGCCACCAAAAAGCUCCUUCCGUCAUCUUUUACGCUAUAAUUUGAACUAUUCUCCACCAAUCUUUUCCCUCUUUGGAAACCCUUGCCCUUGUUAUUACUAAUAUACGUUUUAACAGGACUCUUCUUCGAGAAUUUCAUGAAACUUCCAUUUAGACCAUCACUUUUUUCUUGCUUGGCUGGUGAUGACGGUCGCGGUUGUUCUAUCUUCUUCUUGUUUCCUUUAUUCAUUUCCUUUCCUUUAUCAGUAUCCCACCUGUCGCUGAAGUCAGUGUAGAAGUUGUCCAAAUCAUUUUUAUUGAAUCUUGUUUGGACAUUAGAGUACGGAUUGUAUGGAGAUAAGGUUUUGGGCAUUUUUUCGUAAGAAGAACCAGAAAAGAAAGACUUGAAGCUUUGUAAGGUUUUCUGGAAGAAUUUCUUGGUGUUGGAGAAGGAGCUUUUUAGCAACAUUGUCAAUGGUGGUGGUUAGUUCAGUUGUUUUAUGUGGAGGUACAAAAGAAACAGAUACUAUUUGUCUCUCUAUCUCUCAGUUUCUUUAUAGAGAAAGAAGAGAUAGAGGAGCCAUGAAAGGUUCUUGAAAUUACUAAAGAGAAAGAAAAGAGAAUGCAGUGGGCAGCAUUAUGUCUGUUUGUCUUUACACGCUCUUCUUUUUUCUUUUUGUUGUAUUAAUUUCUUGAAAUCCAGCUGAGUCCCCACCCACUGAUCAUAUCUCUCUCCCACACACGAAGGUAUCGAAAGAAAAUGGUAAAGCUUAUGUGAAAGUUUGAUGAAUAUUUAUUAUAAGAAAGUUUUCCAUCAUUUUUACUUUGUAAGGUGGAGUUGGUGUGUAGGGCUCUUUGGGAGAAAGGAAAGGAAAGGAGCGGGUGUGGUUGUUGAACUGGCUCUUUCUUUCUCUACAUUCUUUGGCUCUAGCGGCUUGUUGGUAAGAGUUCUGUUAUCGUAUAUUGCCUGCUGUUCUCCCUAUAUAUACACAUACAAAUACAUUCUCAUUGUACAUCCCCAUAUAAGAUUUAAUUCAAUAAUAAAUAAUGGGGCCACAGAAUUGCAAAUUAAGUAUUAUCAACUAUAUUAAUCACAUGGAGACAAAAAAAAAAAAAAAAAUUGUGUGUGAAGAUUUUUUUUUAAUUUUAUGAUAUGGCUCUAUAAAUCAAAUUUUAAUUAACAAAAUGAGAGUAAACUCACUUGUUUAAUGAAUUAUGAGUUUAAAUUUAAUAAAUACUACUAACUAAUUAGUAGGAUAAUUAAAAUCAUUGGAGGUAGGCAUGACGUCUAUGUAAUAAGGUGUAGAGUAUCUCUCUCAUAGACACUUCAAUCAUUAGGAUGUCUCUUUUAAUCGAUGUAGUAAUUAGUAAUUAGGAUUAGAUUUGUUUAUUUUGCUCGUAAUAUAUUAAAAUGUUUUGGUUCGAGAAUCAUAAGAUGAUGGACCAUUCCCUCCCCACUAUAAGACAAAUUCCCGUGAAUCACGGAUUGGAUCGACUUGCACUAUUUCUACACUAUUAAUUAAGUCAAAACCAACACUAAUUGACCAAAAGUAAGCCAUAAGACCAACAAUGUCUCUAAUCAUUGAUGAUUUUUUUUUUUUUUUGGGAUGAAUGAUAUUAUUUUAUUUGAUACAUUAAUACCCAAUUAAUAUUUAAAAUUGAAUCAUUAACUACUAUAGUAAGCAAUUUAUCAUUGUAUUCUAACAAUAUUGAAAUUAAUUUUUUUUACACCCAAAUAUAAACCUAUAGCCUGGGUGAUUCCAUAGAUUGCAGGGGCAACGUAUGUUACCGUUAAGCAGCAUAAUUAUACUUUGGCUUUUUAGGUAUUAUUAUUAUUAUUAUUAUUAUUAUAAAGAAUGUUGGCGGCUCGGAGUAGGAGUUAAUGGAAGACAAAAGUGACUAGUGAUUAGGACAAGAGAGCUGUUGAGGUCUAAGAGAAGAUAUAGGGAUAGUUGUAUACUUUUUGAUAAUGUUUGACCAAUUGCUACUGGCCACGCGUUUUGGCGUUCGGAACCAGUCUCCAUCCCUAUCUAGUUCCUUACUAUUCACUCUGACCUAACGGGAACCGCUCUUCGUACGGCUUCAUUUUUUUUUACCCUUUAUUAAUUAACCACUUCCUAUGACUUUUCAAUUUCAUCAAGUAACACAAGAAAUAAGUAAAGCUUUAAUCAAGAAAGCAUCAACCUAAGAAAAAAAAAUGAAAAUAGAAAAGAAAGACAAAUAAAUAAUGUGAAAACAAGUUGUAUUGAUAUAUUAUUCACUUGCCUUUACAACCAGCAUAAUAGGAAUUUCACUAAAUGGGGAUACAAUGCCUAUCUAAAUUGGAAAUAAAACCUUAUAAAAAUUAAAGUUUAAUAUAAAAAAAAAAGAUUUAUAAAAUUAUUCUGAGUGGAAACAAAUUUGUAUAAUUACUAACUAUGACGGUAUAUUUGCAACUUUUUUGGACCCUAAAACUUAAUUUUAAGCCGAUGUCAAUAUUACUAUGGAAAAUAAUAUUUAUCUAAUGAAUGGUAAACGUUCAUUUUCACCUUUAUUUCUAUCAUUUUCAUAUGAAAGACGAGAAAGAAGAGGAAAAUGAGAAAGUUCCUUACGGCACCUAGUUUAAAUGUAUGGAAUUCUAUUCGAUUUCAUCAUCUUACUAGUUGUUACAUAAAAUUAGAAAGGCUUGGCAAAGAGCCUCCUAAAAUGAUGUAUGAAGCUGCUUUUCUUUGAGAAGAUGUAUGCAGCUUUUAUAAGCAAAUGAAGCAAAUGAAGGUGAAAAAACGGAAAUGCCAAACAAAGUCAAAAAAAAAAAAAAAAAAAAAAAAAAAAAAAAAAAAAAAAGUGAGGGACAUUAAUCAUCCAGAAUUAUAGCUCUUACAUGUUCUCUCUUGAACAACAACAGAAAAACCAAACACAUAAAUAAAAUCAUUUAGGCACUAUACAAGCACAAACUUUUAAACCAUUUAACCAUUCACAGAUGUCAUAUAGACAUUAGUCAUCCAGCAUUAAUGUGAUACUUCCAUAUAAACUUUAUCAAACCAGUAAUAAUAUCAAUAGCUGUUAGAGUUUCUCUUGAACUAUAGAAAAACCGAAUACAUCUACUAGUUGCAGUGCAACAAAGACAUUCUCCAUUAACAGAGACAAACACAUUCUCUAUCCUCCAUCAACAAAAUCAACAUCUUCAUCUGACCUCAGCGAGCUUCAUACUGAACAACUGCAAGAGGCAAACUUUUUGUGUUAAACCAAAUGAUUAAGCACUGAUAAGUCUUAAGAGUCAAGGGAGUCUGCAUCAGACAAACCAUAAGAUUUUGCUGAAAUCUAGACAUGUAAAAUAUACAUGUGGGAGAAGUGUCUAUGAAAGGAUAUAAAGGCCAAACAAGAAACAAGCACUAAAUGCAUGGUUACAACUGUUGCAUUGUAAACAUGUCAGUAUGUUGCAAAUUGUGGCCGGCACCAUAAAGAAACUUCUUAAAAAAAAAAAAAAAAAAAAUCAAAAAAAAACAAAAAAAAAAAAAAAAAAAAAAAAAAAAAAAAAAAGAAAA